CCUUUAUUUAACACUAUAUCUGGGGGAUAUCUUGUCACGAUGAGCUCUGUUUUCUGUGCAUGUUCUUUACGAAUAAACGAGUCAGACACCACUUGGAAUAAUUAUGGCAAUGUGCGUAUUGCAUAACGCACAUGCCGGUUUAUUAAUUUUGUAAUCAAUGACAUAAAUUUAACAUAACAAAUUAUUAACCAAAGUAAUUCAUUAACAGUUAGCACAGAAAAGGUGGGGGUAAAAACGCCCACAACUAACAGUAACAACUAUAAUAACUAAUAUACAAUAUACAAGUAGAAUAGUCUUGCGUUCAGAAAAACGGGGAGGAGGGUGGGGAAAAACUUGACUUUAAAAUACAGACGACUUUGCGCUACCAAAGCGAAGAGCAGAAUGAACCAGAUGCGCAUUCUGCUAUAGAUAUGUAUCACCUCUCCCUUCCGUUUUCCUGCACGCAUUACAUUCAUGUGAUCAGAAAAUUACGGGGAAAAUACCCAUGUGUCCCAUGUCAAGUAUGUCUAUUUAUAUAUCCUAAGCUCAGGAAGCAAUAAAAUCUUCAUUGGUAUGCCAAUAAUUCCUUUAUCGCUUCCUUUAUUUAACACUAUAUCUGGGGGAUAUCUUGUCACGAUGAGCUCUGUUUUCUGUGCAUGUUCUUUACGAAUAAACGAGUCAGACACCACUUGGAAUAAUUAUGGCAAUGUGCGUAUUGCAUAACGCACAUGCCGGUUUAUUAAUUUUGUAAUCAAUGACAUAAGUUUAACAUAACAAAUUAUUAACCAAAGUAAUUCAUUAACAGUUAGCACAGAAAAGGUGGGGGUAAAAAUGCCACAAGUCUACUUGGGUAAAGAAGACAUACCCCACCCCAGCGUGACAAGGCAUCGACAGAUAAAGUGAUUACAGACCGAUGAAACAAGCAAGCAACAAUUCUACAAAAUUGAGUGAUAGUAUUGGCAAAUAUUAAUUAAACUGCUCAUAAUAUAAAAGGGGGUGUUAGCUAUACCCAAACAAUUCGUGCCCCUGCGUUGAACUGCCAGGUAUAACCACCACCGACAAGACAAAAGUGUUCUGAUAGCCUUGCCCCUGCGUCAGCAUCACAGAACACUCUAAAGCAGUAUGUCGCAUAUGGUAACAUGCAUCAUAAUAAUCAUUGUAGUCAAGUCUUGCCCCUGCGUCAACUUGACCAGUCAGAUGUGCACGGAAGCGGAGUUUGCCAAAAUAUUAAAUGCUUAUUGACAGCCAUGAUCAAUCCGGUGAAAAAGACAAACAACCAAACUCGGCCUAUCUAGGCAAAGCGGUUGAGCACAGGCCUGGACCUCGAAUAUACUUACGAAAGGCGUCGGAUUUCCACCGACCCAUUGAUCGAAUUUGGGCAUCAGAAAAACCGCAUUCCGCAGCAAAUGUUGCCGCGCCAAUGCGGAAACUAUGUCCUUUGUAUUUAGUUGGAUCGAGACCACAUGUCUUGAAAAUGAGUGCUAAAUAGUCAGUAAAAAGUUUGCGUGAAACCGCGUGGCCCUCGUGCGUUCGAAAAAGCGGGCCAUCCGACAAACCCCGGCGUGAAAAAUAAUCCAGUAAGCUCUGCACUGGGCAUAUAUCUGAACGACGCUUAAGAGCGAUUGAUACAUUUGUUUGGUUGUAAGAAUGCUUAAAAUCAAAAAAUGUGAUUUUCAGUCCAAUUACGCCGCCUGAAUGGUCAACAAGUUGGACAAUCUGAUUUAACUGAAGCACACUCGAUGACCUGGGACAACAAGUGAUUUCCCCAACACGUAAAAAGGCAAAAAAUGCCGUUGUACACAUUGCUUUAAACAUAUACGCACGGUAUUCGCUCGCACAUAUGGUUGAUGUUUGUUGCAACACCGUGCGAAGGAUAGAAAGAGUUAUGGGCAUGCGUGUAUCCAAGCGCGACCCAAGUUUGCCAUACCCUUUCAACAUUUCAAUCACCCAAAAGACCCUAGUGGGGUCUGGCACGCCUGCAAGGCGAUGAUAAUAACCCAGUGCAGAGACAUACGUGUUCGCAG